AUUGAACGCUGGCGGCAUGCCUUACACAUGCAAGUCGAACGGUAACGCGGGGCAGCCUGGCGACGAGUGGCGAACGGGUGAGUAAUGCAUCGGAACGUGCCCAGUAGUGGGGGAUAGCUCGGCGAAAGCCGGAUUAAUACCGCAUACGACCUACGGGUGAAAGCGGGGGACCGGAAGGCCUCGCGCUAUUGGAGCGGCCGAUGUCAGAUUAGGUUGUUGGUGGGGUAAAGGCCUACCAAGCCGACGAUCUGUAGCUGGUCUGAGAGGGCGACCAGCCACACUGGGACUGAGACACGGCCCAGACUCCUACGGGAGGCAGCAGUGGGGAAUUUUGGACAAUGGGGGCAACCCUGAUCCAGCCAUGCCGCGUGCGGGAAGAAGGCCUUCGGGUUGUAAACCGCUUUUGUCAGGGAAGAAACGCUUCGAGCUAAUACCUCGAGGUAAUGACGGUACCUGAAGAAUAAGCACCGGCUAACUACGUGCCAGCCGCCGCCGUAAUAC
rnacentral:rRNA from 1 species